rnacentral:rRNA from 1 species
UACGUAGGGGGCAAGCGUUGUCCGGAUUUAUUGGGCGUAAAGAGCGUGUAGGCGGCCAUACAGGUCAGCUGUGAAAACUCGAGGCUCAACCUCGAGACGUCGGUUGAAACCGUUUGGCUAGAGUCCGGAAGAGGAGAGUGGAAUUCCCGGUGUAGCGGUGAAAUGCGCAGAUAUCGGGAAGAACACCCGUGGCGAAGGCGGCUCUCUGGGACGGUACUGACGCUGAGACGCGAAAGCGUGGGGAGCGAACGAGG